rnacentral:lncRNA from 1 species
AUGAUGAUAGUUAGAUAUUCAUCAAGGGCCCUACCAGCCCUGCCAUUCCUUGACCAAUUUUCCAAUGAUAUUUUGAUUUUCUCAUAUUUACUUACAAAUCUUGAACUAUCCUCCCUGCUUGUCAUGUGUGAAACAUGUUUUUUACAUUUAACAUAUUUCAUAACUUUGCUAUUUUCCUUUAAAAAGCCCACACAGAGUUUCCUAUCUGAUCUUUGGGCCUUAGAGCCUAAUAAAGCUCCAGCGGUCCAGUGGACAAGAGGGACUCGAGGAGAGUGGACCAGCAAUGCGCAUCUGCUCAUUCUGUCUUCAAUCCUGGAUGUCCAUGCGAGUAAUCUUUUAAACGUGUGUACAAUUUGGGGCUGGCCCUGUGGCCGAGUGGUUAAGUUGGCGUGCUCUGCUGCAGGCGGCCCAGUGUUUCAUUGGUUCGAAUCCUGGGUGUGGACAUGGCACUGCUCAUCAAGCCAUGCUGAGGCAGCGUCCCACAUGCCACAACUAGAAGGACCUGCAACGAAGAAUAUACAACUAUGUACUGGUGGGCUUUGGAGAGAAAAAGGAAAAAAAUAAAAUCUUUAAGAAAAAAAAUGUGUGUACAAUUUAUCAUUAUUUUAUAUAUUUCUUGACAGAAUACAUAUUCAUAAUGCAUUAAAAUGGAUUAUGAAUGGAAGGGAGAAAACAAUCAUCCAUAUUUGCAUAAUCUAAAUUAUUAAAAUUAGUAUAUUACUAUUAGUGUCAUUUUUUCUAUAUACAGUCUUGUGAAAAGGGAAUAAUUUACUUAAUCAUUACACUGUGAUUUAGGUUUCUUCUCAAUUCUCCGCUAUGAUACAUAAUACUAUGAUGAACAACUUGAUGUGACUUAGGUGGUAGAGAAAGGCUAUGGGGUGGAAGUAUAGAGUGUUAUUUUGUUUGGGGCCUGUGCCCCCUGAAUUGUUGGCAAGGUAGGGGAGAAGAUGACAUGAGCAGUUUAAUCAUGGCCAAGGAAUAUUAAGCUGUGCAGAGAGCAGUGUGGAGAACCCGGAAAUUUAUGGAGAUUGUAUAAAAUGCUAACUGAACGGCAUAUGUGGGUGUGUUGAGAUGUGCUGCCAGGUGAUUUUCAAAAGAGCUUACCAGGGCUUAAAUCAAUGCUAUCAUCAGGAUCAGAGCAGAUGCCAGCUAUUUUUUCUCAUGCUCCCAUUCUGCACCUGACUGAGGGCACCUGUUAGGAAUAUUUCUCACCUGAUGCAUAUCAAGUCAAGCAACACUAUCAGGGAGAGUUUGGUAACAGCAAAGGUAGAACCUUGAGUUGUUGGGUGAGGCCAAGAGUUUUCACAUACCCUUGUUUGCCAAAUCUACCUCCAGCUUGCUGGGCAGGCAUGUUUCUGAACCUACCACCCGGCCGCAAAUCAAGCCAACUAAUCUGGUACAUCAUAUUCCCUAAUAGCUCUGCUUUUUGUAUAUUUGUGUAUGUCUCCACCUGUUCACCCAAGUGAAGGUUCUGUUGUUGAAUGCAGUUGGUUUUGAAUUUACUGAAUUCUUCAUUUAAUUCAAUUCACCAGACAUUUAAUGUGCAAUCACCACUGCAAGCCAGGAUGCAGUGGUUGUGCUUCCAUUUUUGUCAGACUGACAGUCUAAUAGAAGAGAUAAGAGGUAUCAAAAUACCCAGGAUAUGAGGUGCAUAAGAUAAGGCCUAUCAUAGGGGUUACCACUAAGAUAUGGGGACAGAGAGAAAAGGGACAAAUCUGAGUGAGGAGAUGUGGGAACAAUGCCUUCAUUGGGGUGGUGUCAUGACUACUUUUUCCACUGGUGAACAUAGAAUAAAGGAAUUCUAGGGAAAGAGAGUUUCA